rnacentral:rRNA from 1 species
UACGAAGGGGGCUAGCGUUGCUCGGAAUUACUGGGCGUAAAGGGAGCGUAGGCGGGUUAUCAAGUUGGAGGUGAAAGCCCAGGCUCAACCUUGGAAUUGCCUUCAAAACUGAUAGCCUAGAGUAUGGAAGAGGUAAGUGGAACUCCGAGUGUAGAGGUGAAAUUCGUAGAUAUUCGGAAGAACACCAGUGGCGAAGGCGACUUACUGGUCCAUGACUGACGCUGAGGCUCGAAAGCGUGGGGAGCAAACAGGG